rnacentral:rRNA from 1 species
AGUCGAGGGGUAACAGGGGAGCUUGCUCCCGCUGACGACCGGCGCACGGGUGAGUAACGCGUAUGCAACCUACCCUUAACAGGAGGAUAGCCCAGGGAAACUUGGAUUAAUACUCCAUGGUUUCACAGAGUCGCAUGGCUUUGUGAAUAAAGUUCCGGCGGUUAAGGAUGGGCAUGCGUGGCAUUAGCUAGUUGGUAAGGUAACGGCUUACCAAGGCGACGAUGCCUAGGGGUUCUGAGAGGAUGAUCCCCCACACUGGGACUGAGACACGGCCCAGACUCCUACGGGAGGCAGCAGUGAGGAAUAUUGGUCAAUGGGCGAGAGCCUGAACCAGCCAUCCCGCGUGCAGGAUGACGGCCCUACGGGUUGUAAACUGCUUUUAUGUACCAAGAAUAGGCGCUACGUGUAGCGUUAUGACGGUAGUACAUGAAUAAGCAUCGGCUAACUCCGUGCCAGCAACCGCGGUAAUACGGAGGAUGCAAGCGUUAUCCGGAUUCAUUGGGUUUAAAGGGUGCGUAGGCGGUCUGAUAAGUCAGUGGUGAAAUGCUGCAGCUCAACUGUAGAACUGCCAUUGAAACUGUCAGACUUGAGUGCGCCUGAGGUAGGCGGAAUGAGUAGUGUAGCGGUGAAAUGCUUAGAUAUCACUCAGAACACCGAUUGCGAAGGCAGCUUACUAAAGCGUAACUGACGCUGAUGCACGAAAGCGUGGGGAGCGAACAGGAUUAGAUACCCUGGUAGUCCACGCCGUAAACGAUGAUAACUCGCUGUUGGCGAUACACAGUCAGCGGCUUAGCGAAAGCAUUAAGUUAUCCACCUGGGGAGUACGAUCGCAAGGUUGAAACUCAAAGGAAUUGACGGGGGCCCGCACAAGCGGAGGAACAUGUGGUUUAAUUCGAUGAUACGCGAGGAACCUUACCUGGGCUUAAAUGUGGAUUGACCGUUGCUGAAAAGUGACUUCCCUUCGGGGCAAUUUACAAGGUGCUGCAUGGUUGUCGUCAGCUCGUGCCGUGAGGUGUCGGGUUAAGUCCCAUAACGAGCGCAACCCUUAUCGUCAGUUGCUAACAGGUAAAGCUGAGGACUCUGGCGAGACUGCCACCGUAAGGUGAGAGGAAGGUGGGGAUGACGUCAAAUCAGCACGGCCCUUAUGUCCAGGGCUACACACGUGUUACAAUGGUCGGUACAAAGGGCAGCUACUUGGCAACAAGAUGCUAAUCCCAAAAGCCGGUCUCAGUUCGGAUUGGAGUCUGCAACCCGACUCCAUGAAGCUGGAUUCGCUAGUAAUCGCGCAUCAGCCAUGGCGCGGUGAAUACGUUCCCGGGCCUUGUACACACCGCCCGUCAAACCAUGGAAGCUUGGGGGACCUGAAGUCUGCAACCGCAAGGAG